rnacentral:lncRNA from 13 species
CGGGGCAAAGUGGCCAAGAGGGGCCACCGGCUUGCUCCGCCGCUGGCCGGCGCGCGUAGUUCUCUCCCUUCGGCUUACAGCAUCCGCCGGAGCUUCUCCUCUCUCCGCCUACGCGGUGCGAGUGUGCCGUGUGCGCCAGUGCGCCCGCAAGCCCGAAAGUUCGCGCUCCGCCACGCAGCCCAAGCUCUCUCUACCCGCGCGCUGAUCGGCCACGUUCGUCAGGCCGGGAGCCCCCACGUAAAAAGAGGCACCGGGGCCGCGCGCGCGAGCCGAGGAAAAGGACGAGAUAAGGAACGAAUUUGUUUAACGUAUAUAUUUAGACCAAAAGAAAACUAAAGUUUCGGUUCUUCUUCUCUUUUUUUCGUUAAGUAUAAAAAAACGGAAAGUAACGUUUCGCGACGUAAGUUAAAAGAAAAGAGGUAGCGCAAAGGUGCCGGGGAAAGGACCUUUUUAACGACUCGCGGCUCGACGUUUGUACAGAUACUGUGAUGUUGAAAGCUCGCGCGAGAGCUUGCAGUGAGAGAGAAUCGAAGAGGAUCGCCGUCAACCUGCUGCCGGCUUCGAGUGCGCCGAUGUUGUGAACAUCUUCUUACCCGUCCUCGUCCUGCGAACUUGUCUCCCUGGGAUCGGCGCGACAAACAGAUUGACGAAUGACGCCGUAGCAGAGGGCUGGUUGGUGCGCGGAUACCGGGACGCAAGAGGACGGCACCUUUCGCACCGCCACGGCAACGUACAACGUAAGUACUAUCAACAUUAAUUCACCCCGUGAGAAGUAGGAAAACUUAUUUUUUGUCUACGUGAUACAAACGGAACCGUUUGGCAAUCAUUUGUUAUAAUCGCGCCGUCGACAAUUCCUCGUCGCUCUACGCCAAUGCAUGCAUAUAUGAACGUCGAGUCGGGGUUGACAAUGCAGCUUCGCGUCAAGGACGACGCCAGGCGUCGAGUCGGUGGAGAAAGAAAAAAGGAUGUCGAAUAUACCGAAGAGAAAAGGAGAGGAUAAAGGGGGAGAUGGAGGCGCUCUAAGGUACAUAAUCAUGCUCGCUGACUCCUUCCCUAAUAAGAGACUCACUGCCAGCUCGUCCCCAUGAAUCAACCCCCUACGCGUGCCUGACAUCGUUGCGCUCGCAUGACAGCGGUAGCACACUAUGAAUAACUAAAUGCUCUACUAUUCGCUCGCCCUCCGCGGAUACCUAACUGUGAUCCCAAAUAAAACAA